rnacentral:rRNA from 1 species
GCUUGUCUCAAAGAUUAAGCCAUGCAUGUCUCAGUAUAAGUUCCUGUACGGCGAAACUGCGAAUGGCUCAUUAAAACAGUUAUAGUUUAUUUGAUGGUCGUUCCUUACAUGGAUAACUGUGGUAAUUCUAGAGCUAAUACAUGCACCCAUGCCCGACUUUGUGGAAGGGUUGUGUUUAUUAGUUACAGAACCAACCCAGGCUCUGCCUGGUCUUGUGGUGAUUCAUAAUAACUCCUCGAAUCGCAUGGCCUUGCGCCGGCGAUGUUUCAUUCAAAUUUCUGCCCUAUCAAUUUGAUGGUAGGAUAGAGGCCUACCAUGGUGGUAACGGGUGACGGAGAAUUAGGGUUCGAUUCCGGAGAGGGAGCCUGAGAAACGGCUACCACAUCCAAGGAAGGCAGCAGG